GGGAAUGUAGCUUAGAGGUAAAGUGUUUGCCUAGCAUGCAUGAAGCCCUGGGUUUGAUUCCUCAGUACCA
rnacentral:tRNA from 1 species